CCCCCCCCCCCCCAUCUCCAUGCAUUAACAUGCGAGGCGCCCGCUGACCUUUCUUUGCACUGCGUGUUGGGGAGGAGCGCAGCGCAGCGCGGGCUGCGGGCGGAGGGGACGGCGAUGCAGCUUCUAAUUUUGCCAUUACUGUCACAGGGGCCAUUUGUCACCCAGCCCGGGGAGACUCCACGCAUGGACAGACAGCAGCCCUUCCAGUGCUCCUCGUUGAGAUCGGGGUGGGGGGGGGGGGGGGGGGGGGGCUUUACCAGCGUGGGAAGGGUGGGGAGUGGGUUUCAAUCACCGUGCUGAGCCAAAAAGGGGAGAAAAGACCCCAAAAGGCCGCCGACAGCCACCCACCACCAUGCAAUCCAAUGGCAUUUUGGGGAUAAAGCAAGAUGGAUGGCGCAUCCCUGGGUGUCCCCCCCCCCCCCCCCCCUUCCUCGCUGCGUGCCCCCAUCUGUAGAGCAGAAGCGAUCGCCCUCCAUCCAGAUAUUAAUUCUCCUAUUAGAUUAAAUAACGCGAAGGGUUGUGCUGCUUUCAUUACGCGUCGUGGGCGAGCGAGCUGCCUGCAGCCUCUGCCUCCUCCUCGCCUCCCGCCAGCAGAGCACUAAUUAGCAACAGGCAGGAGAGAUGCUCGUCUGCCUCCCGCCCUUUAUUAAUUGCUGGUUCGCUUUCGGCGCCGUGCAGCUUUGCUUCACCUCUGCUCGCUUUUUGGCCGCUCCCUCACAGCAGGGAUUUGCUGCUGCUGCUCACACCCAUUGGCUUUCAUCACCAAAAAGGCCCAAAUACCCCCCUGGGCAUUUCCCUCGUGGCGGAGAACAGCGGUGCCACCCGACGCGACGCAGCCCCAAACCAGGGGGCUUUUGACGGCCUUUUGGCACUCUCCAACCCACCUAUUUCAGGAGGGCACCCACUGCAAGCUCAGCUCUUCGGGCUUUAAGCCCAACUGGCGGCACUCAGCUCCUUUCAACACCGCACCUCUACUUUGCAGCGCCGCCGGAGCUCUGCAGCGCCCGCACGGCCGUCGGCCCUCUCUGCAAACGAAGGCUGCGCCGGGCCGCGGGACGCCGUGCGUUUAAAUCCGAGCGCACCUUUCCCUUCUCCUCCCAUCCCUGCCGUCUCUCAGCACCUCUCCCUGCCCGUCCUCCCCCCGCAGCCGGGAAGCGCGGCGCUGCGUCCCGUAAGCCGGGGAUGUGCGGGGAGUCGCUCCCUCGGAGGGCGAUGCUCUUCCCGACCCGGUUCGGCUCAGCAACCUGCGGGAAGGAGAGAUGGAUUCUGCCCCGACCGCCGAGGGAGAGGCAGUAAAUCACCUCCCAUUGACCGAGGAGUGCUUUCGUUCCGAGCAGAGUGCACUUUGCAUGCAUUUUGCAUGCGCUUCCAGCGCACUUUAAAUUAAUGCACUCUCGACUCAAAGCCUCUGCUAAUUCACAUUUCCCUGCACGAGCGUUCCCCUGUAGAUGUGUUCCCGACCCAAAGCCCUUUGCAGAUGGGCGGGGAGCCUCCACGUUGUCUUCCACCCUCAACCCGGGGCUAAAUUAACUGAGCUAAUCGCCCUUACGGCCACGCGUGGGGUGCGGGGGACGCAGCGAACACAUCCUGCCACGCUGCUCCAUCCCGAUGCUCGCCCUAUAGCGCCCUGCCUGCGGGCUGUGGGGCAGCUCUGGGCUCUGCCCUCCGCCUCCCAGAGGGAAAUAAUUCAUCUCGCUGCCCUCCUGCUGACUCUCUCCUGCAUUGAUCCGCUGCCAAUUGGCUGCUCUGCGAGAGGAGCGAGGGUGGAGGCUGCAGGAUUCACUGCCGAUGUUGUAAGGACAAAGUCAAGGGGACGCGCUCUUCUCAGAAACGCAUCCAGGCUGAUUUUGGGAAGAGGGGACGUUUGGGGUCCGGCUGCUGCGUGAUCCCACGUGGGCGAUGCUCUUGGUGUGGGAUGCAUUGGGCCCUCCUCUCGACCCCCCUUUACACGAGCAGCGUUGCGAAGGCUGGGAGGUGAUGAUGGUCCUGUCCUCAUUUUGAACCAAAGGGGUGAGACGUAAUGGCACUCAUUAGCUGUGUGCACUUUCCAUCUGCACAGCGUUGGUCAUUCAGGAGACGUGCCUAAAUAAGGAGCUCUGUGCCCCAAAUUCUCUGCACUCAAUGAAGAGAAAUCAGCACCUUCGGGUCUACGCUGCGGUACUAAUUGCGAACCCCCCAUGAAUCCCCCACUGAGGAGAGAGGAACCUUCAGAGCAGUGCCCCAAAUGUGUCUCCUCUCUUGGAAUGGAUCAUUGGACUCAACCCAAGGGUGGUUUGUUGGCAGAGCUGGAGGGCUGCUGCCCUGUGACGGUGGAAUGGAGCAGUUUGACUCAACCCAAUUGGUUGGCAAAGCCAGAAGGACGUCGUCCUUCUAUACUGGAAUGGAAAGUGGGACUCAACCCAAUGCUGAUUGGCUGGCAAGACCAGAUGGGUUCUGCCCUUUGAUACUGGAGUGGAAAGUGGGACUCAACCCAAUGCCAGCUGGUUGGCAAGGUCAGAUGGAUGCUGCCCUUCGACAACGCAAUGGAACAGUUUGACUCAACCCGAUGCGUAUUGGUUGGCAAGAUCGGAUGGAUGCUGCCUUCAAUACUGGAAUGGAACAUGGGACUCAACCCAACACUGGUUUGCUAGAAAAAUGAACAGACGCUGCCCUUUGGGAAAGCAGUUGAAGCUCAUCUGUAGCAUUCCCUGGGAAAUGAGGGAGCUCGUGGUGCUGGCGCAGGUCAUGGGGUGGAUGGCUCUGGUUGCUGCCGUGCCAUAAAUCCUGGCCAGGCGAGCCUGGCGGCACCGAGAGGUACCCACAAAGGGACAUCCAUCAACGUUAACCCAAAUCAACCUUUAAAAUGGAUUAGCCAGAGCACAUAAAACCCCAUUCUGGACACUUAGCCAGAAUUAGAGUUGGUUUAAUUCACUUGAGCUUAAUUCGCAAAGCUAAACCGAAUUAAGGCUGGCUGCGUUCGGAACGAGCAGCUCCACGCGUGGAGUUUAAUGUGAUUUACAUCGCCUGCUCUCCAUCCACACCUCUGGGUGAUCUAUGUGCCACCGGGGAGCAGAGCUGGCAGGGAAUGCAGGGAACGUCGCCACGCCGCUGCCAGGACCGAACAUCGCUGCAGGGUCACCGAGCCCUGGAGCAGCACGGAGGGAGGAGACGCUUCCAGUUCUCUUCUUGCAGCAGUGGGAGGGAUGGAAGGGACCCUCCAACCCCCCGAUGAAAUUAUAUCUACAUCGGCUGGAAUUCGGCUCUCGUUGACCCCAUCAAACCAGGGAAAUGCCUCCAUUGGGGCUCUGAGGAGGUUUCUUGUCUUCUCCUUAUUAAUCACAGGGAAGAAAGCGGGUCCCUUCCCCUCCCAUAAAUCUUGCUGCAGCGUUGGCCGGACGCUUGGCUCGCUGCCUCCGCGCUCUGCUCCUACAGGGGAUGAAUUGGGGAGGAAGAAGGGAGUUCCUGCACUGCUGUGUGCAGCUCUGGGCUCCUGCGGGGUGCUAAGCACACACUUAAUGCUGAGCAAAUGUUUCCAUGCUUCGUUGAGCCCGGGCAUUAAAAUCGUAAGGUUUGCUUUAAACUUCUGCCCUGCAUUUGCUCGAGCCUGAGGAUUUAUGGCUGGGGUUUGUGUGGAUGGGAAGAGGAGAAAUUUUAUCUGCUUGGGGAGAAAUGAGGCUCUCGUCCUCCCCACCCCGAUUGGUGCCCGCUGGUAACAUGCUGAGAAACCCCAAAGCACUGAACCUGGGGGGGAAUUAUGACCAUUUUCUGUUACCCACAGAGCAUCCGUAACCCUGAUGGACCACUGCGAGUGGAAAACCAGCGACCACCAACCCCACCUCUCCCUGUUUGUCAGUGAUGGAGGCGAUGGGCUCCGCUUCCCAUCAGCACACUUCGUCUUAUGGCACGUUUGGCUUCCAUCCAUUUCCACCUGGGACGAAAGGAGGGGAAAAUGUGGGGGUGUGGAGAUGGGGAAGGGGCUGGCACCGCUCCCUGUGCCCCCACCUCUUCCAAAUAGGGCCGAAAUGUCUCCAACUCCUUCACGUCUCCGAAAUGUCUCCUUUCCAUUAGUGGAUGGGCACCUAUUGAAGGAUCUCAGCUGAGGGAAUUCAAAUGGUUCUAACGCAAACCGCCCUCACGGUAACCAUUAUGGUCCCUUAAAAACAUUUCAUUACGAAGGCAAGCGUAUGUUUUAGCAAUGCUCUGAUGACUCCUCAGUGUCAGGUUUAUCCCAGGCCGGGCGCUUCUCAGAAUGAAUGAGUUGAUGAGAUCCAAGUUCUCCCUUUGUUUAAUGGACUUUAAGUUGUUUAAAUCAUUGGCUUCACUUAAACCCCGCACUUAAAGAAGGGCUGUCUAUUUCUCUCCAUUAAAAGUUCAUCCAUCAUGGAAUGAGUCUUUCCGGAAAGCCCCAAUGGUGAACCAAAAGGUCCACACCAUGUCACAGCUCUGGGUUGGGUGUUUUCACACGGCGUGAGCCAUUUCCUGGCAGAAGGGGCCCAAAAUCACCACCCCAGGUAGUGGGGUUGGUGCUGCACCACGUGGUGACACCACUGGGCUUUGUAUGGGUUGAAAUGUUGGAUAACAGAGUUGGACCGGAGUGCCCACGCAACCCAACCGAUGUGAGGACGCAUGGAGGCUUCACCAUCCACAGCCACUGCUAAACCCAAGGGCUUUCUUCUAAAACAUGCCUCCAGCCAUGAAACCCAAGGGCUUUCCUCUCAAAUACAUCCCCAGCCAUGAAACCCAAGGGCUUUCCUCUCAGAUAUACCCCCCAGCCAUGAAACCCCCGCCAUUUCCUCACACAUACAUCCCUUGGCUCGGCCUUGAGAAGCCAUGCAGCGCAACCCCAUCGAUUACCAUCAUCCUUCCCAUUCCCUUUUACACCCACGAAGCUCAGAGGUGCCCCCCACCACCCCCAGAGCCCGCAGCAGUCAUCCAUUGCCAACUGACUUUGUGUUCUCCUUGCGACGUCGGCGCGCGCGCGCGGCGCAGAUGUAAAUACAUCCCGGCUGUCCUGCUUUGAUUCAUGCUUUGGUAUCGGAUCGCGUGCGCCUCCCUGGACGCCAUAAAUCUCCUCGGGGUAACUCCACCUGAAUUGCUCUUUGUGUGCGUUGCAGGUCGGGAUGAGGAACUGCUCUGCAGGGGAGCCUCUCGCCAGCGCCGUGUUUCCAUUCGCCUGCGCGGAUCGACGUCUGCGGUGGGAGGGAAUUGGGGUAGGGGCAGCCCGGCGUCUCCGGUGUGGAGCUCGGAGGGAGACAGAAAAGUGCUUUUUGGGGACCUGAUGGGUUACAAAUCACACAUCUUUUGUCCCACCCCCGUGGGGAGCAGGAAUGGGGUCAGGGCAGCCCGUGGUUGAAUGUCUCCUUGCGUUUGCCAUCGCCCUGCAGCACCCGGAGUCAUUUGGCUGAGUAGAAGAUGAGGUCCCCCUGAAGUGGAUGCUUGGGGUUCCACAAAGCCAACAAAACCCAACCAGCCCAGAGCCAUCUCACCACGCUGCGACCAUCUCAGAGCCAAAAGUGGCCCUCAGGGCUCACACGAUGCCAUGGGAGCACCUCAAGGGUGUGCUGGGACAUCCUCAUGUGGACGUGGAACCUGGCCUUGGCCAACAGGGGUUCUCGAGGCUCACAUGGCCCAAUGGGAAUGCCUCUAAGAUGUUUUGGGACAUCCUCAUGUGGACGUGGAACCUGGCUUUGGCCCACAGUGGUCCUCCAGGCUCUCCCAGUGCCAUAAGAACAUCUGUAGGGUGCAGUGGGAGAUCCUCCUACGGACAUGGAAGCCGGGCUUGGCCAACAGUGGUCCUCCAGGCUCACGUGAUGCCAUGGGAACACCUCUGGGGUGUAAUGGGGCAUCUUCAUGUGGACAUGGAACCCGGUCUUGGCCAACAGAGGUCCUCCAGGCUUGCACCACAGGAGCACCUCUGGGAUAUACUGGGACAUCCUCGUGUGGGGAUGGGGACACUCAGUCACAGCAACCGGUGCCGACGUCCCCAACCUGGAACACAGAGAGAAGAGGCCACAUCCUGCCCGAGGCCACCACCUUCCCCAUCCAUUCACUCCUUCAGCUCCAGAAAUACCCUGACAUGGGACACUCUGCAUCUCAGAGCUCUCCCCCCAACCAUCCACAGCGCCACGGAGCAAAGCCUGGGUGAGAAACACGUCCGGAUGGGGCUGAGCUCACAGUUCAGGGCGCCUUCCAGCCAAAGGAAGGGAUUCUUUUAUGGAAUCCUGGAGGAAAAAAGGGACUGCAGCACCCAUGGGCUGCCAGGAAGAGUGAGAUUCGUACUGCACAAAAGAUAGGAGAGGAUCACAGAGCACAAAGCCCUCAACGUCUUCCAUUAUAUCCACGAGAAUUAAAAGACAUGGAGCGAGCAUUGAGAACCCGCCGGCUUAAUAACAGAAGUAAAAAGUUGUUAAUCAGGCACGUGACCCUAUAAAAUAAAGGGAAUAAUUGAAAAGAUAUCUAAUUUAUCUAUUGAAUGCCUCCAACGCUCUCUUUAUCACCGAGAUGGACAGAAUAUAAUUGGUGCGGUGAAAGCCAUCAAUCUUAGGAAGUGGGCUUUCUGUACAAGAUACAACUAUUACUGUCAUAUUAUGACACCAUAAUAUCAAGAUCAAUGACAUUUUAAACGCACUCCAGUUAUGGGCAAUUGGUGACAAUAAAAACAGUGACAAAUUGAUGAAACAAGAGCCAAAUGAUCCGGCGUCUAAAAUAAACCAUAAAUAAUCUUCUUAAAAUAUAUAGAGAGAUAUAUCCACCGAACUCGCUGUGGUUGGGGGGCGGUGAUUCCUUCCACCCGAGGUCUCCAAUGGGCCACCGUUCUCAGGAAGGGGAAGCUUCCCCUUUUGAUUUAAGGGUCAUUCCCAUGCGGUUUAAUGAUGUUAUCGUUAGCAUAAUUGUUGCCAUAAAAAGGAAGGUUACGGCUUCGAAGGGCUGAGGAGCCAACGCGACGGCACAGUAAACAGCGGCACCGUUUCUAGAUCUUAUGGCACCAGGAUGGUGAUAUUCCCUCAGGGCCUCCGUGGGCCUUAAAUAAAGAUAAUAACAACCACAGCAAUUGUGUCCGGAGCUCUGCAGAGCGCUCUGAUUGCAGUUAUGGGGACAGCAUUUGGUUUUUUUUAUAUAGAAGGGGGGGAUGGGGGUCAGGGAGGCUGAAAUCCGACAGAUCCAUUCUUCUUCUGAAACCCAAUGAGGUUGGAAAAGACCUCCAAGACCAACAUUACAACCCCAACCCAUUCCCACCAUGAUCACUCAUCGAAUCAUGGAGUCAUUAAGGUUGGAAAUGACCUCUGAGACCAUUGAGUCCAAACCCAACCCAUUCCCACCAUGCUCACUCAUCAAAUCAAGGAGCCAUUAAGGUUGGAAAAGACCUCCAAGACCAACAGUCCAACCCCAACCCGUUCCCACCAUGCUCACUCAUAGAAUCAUGGAGUCUUAAGCUUGGAAAAGAGCUCCAACACCAACAACCCAACCCCAACCCCCCCACCGUGCCCACUAAAACAAGGCUUGGCGUCUCACUGCACCCAAUGGAGGCCGUGCACUGUGGACAUGGCUCUGCCCAACGGCCACCGUUCUCCAGUGGCUGAGCAUUGAGCCAUUUAAGCUCUGAAAAUAAUAAUGAAAAUAAUAAUGAUUUGUUUAAAAAGGGGGAGAAAACAGGGAAAAUCUCUCCAGUUUAUGAGUAAACGUCCCCCCAGAAAAGGAAAGCAAAUGGAGGGGAUGUCCUCAGUGCUGCUAGGGUGGGCGCAGAGGAGUGGAGCUGCCUGGUUCUGCCUCCGACUCGCUCCUUCUCCUCUAUAUUUGAUAAUCACCCCAAAACUGACACCACAACGCGGUGCAAAAUGGCUCAGAAAUGGAAACAACCCCCAACCCCGGCCCAGCUCCACGCUCCGCUCGGAUUCUUUUGGGAUGAAUCCAUGCCAGAACCAUCGUGGCUCUCAGCAGCUCAUUCCCCCGCGGCUCCACGUGUCGUUGCCAACCACAUGUGGUCCUCAGCCUCAUUCUGGGGUGAAUGGCCCCAAAAGCGUCUGCAGGGACUCAGCACGGAGCCUCGGGGUGGGGGGUGAUGGAAAAUCCCACCUCGGGAUCCUCCGCUCUGAGCCAGGGGGGAUUUGAGGGCUGGGUGGGCGCUGGGGGAAGCGUUGGGGUCUCCGCAGGAAGAUGUGAGGUGGGGGAAGGCUGUGGUUUGUGUGCAGGGAGGAACCUGAGGGGAAACUGAGGCACAGCUGUGAUCCGAAGGGGAAACUGAGGCAGGGAAGCGGAUGGGGAGGAUGAAGAGGGGACCCCACUCCGCUGCCUCAGCUCCAUUGGAAGCCACCCCCUGAGCCCCCCUGGCCUUCACAGCACACCUCGGUGACCACCCCUAAGGAGCAGCCGAAGCUCCAGCAGAAUUAAACACCGGGAGAUGGAGCAGCAAAGCAUCACUCAGCCCACGCUGAUAGCGAGCGGCUCUAAUGCUGAAAUAUGGGCCGUUUAGGGGAAGCCAACCCAUCUCCCUGCAAAGAAAAAAUAAUAUCAUACCAACACAACAACUUGCAGCUUGAUAAAAGAUACGCCGGGUAAAUACAUUAAUGGGAGGUAAUUGAAAACUGGUGGGUAAUCUUUAAGCAAUCACGGAGCUCAGCCGUCGGGGCGGCGGCGGAUGCACGGAUGGCACCGUUUUCCACAUCACAGCCUGGGUGUUUUAUGGGGUUGGGUCUCCGAGUGGAACAGCGGUGUCAUAUUUAGCUUUCUAAUUAUAUUUCGAGAUGCUCCAGCAGCUCUCCCUGCCGCGCAGCACGUGGGGCUGAACAAAGGGGGAAUUGCAGCCAUAAAAGAGAGAGAGGACGAGGUAUCAGCGGAUGGAAGAGAUAAAGAUGUUCCCUCUCCUCUUCCUGAGCUGGCUGAUAUUAAUAGGACAGGAGGCUCUCAGCUCCUGGGCAUGGAGGAGAAGGCUGCAGGGUGGUUCUUUAAUGCUGCUUUGCAAUUUGCUUUCAUUCUCCGGCCCCGAAGCGGCGAUCCGUGCAGCUCCAGCGUUGCUCUCCUUGCUCGGCACCACGCGCAUCCCCAAUCUUAUUCUUGGGUGUGAGGCUGUGGGCACUGAGCUCUCAUUGCGUGGGGGUGUGGGGACCCCACGGUGCUGAGCUCCUUUUGCAUUGGGACCCCACAGUGCUGCGCUCCCAUUUGCAUGGGGGUGUGGGGACCCCACGGUGCUGUGCUCCCAUUGCAUUGGGACCCCACAGUGCUGUGCUCCCAUUGCAUGUGGAUGUGGGGACCCCACAGUGCUG
rnacentral:lncRNA from 1 species